AUCCAGUUGACGAGUCCCAAAUAAGAUGAAAUGUGAGUCUUGCAU
rnacentral:hammerhead_ribozyme from 1 species